CGCGCAGGCGGCCCCUUAAGUCAGGCGUGAAAGCCCGGGGCUAAACUCCGGAAGGGCGUCUGAAACUAAGGAGCUUGAGUACGGGAGAGGGAAGUGGAAUUCCUGGUGUAGAGGUGAAAUUCGUAGAUAUCAGGAGGAACACCGGUGGCGAAGGCGACUUCCUGGACCGAUACUGACGCUGAGGCGCGAAAGCGUGGGGAGCGAACA
rnacentral:rRNA from 1 species